CCGAGUCCUGCCCAACAAGGGCCAGACCCGGCCUAAUUCGUGAAAUAAGGAAAGGGGCCAACUCCCCAUUUGCCAUUUUCAGUCAACUAAACGCAGCCUCCCCUUCCCUUUUCCCCCUUUUCUCUCCAAAAACCCUAGCCGUCUCCAAGCGAUCUUCUCUCUCCUCGUUACCAUGGUUGUUUAUGGUAAAAUGGCAGGAAAAGGAAGACUUGCCCAGGUCUGGCAUGGCCAACACGAGCAAAACAUUAUAUGCUCUCACUCGUUUUCACCUAAAGCAGCCCAAACACGUCAUUAUUUCUUUAUUUUUACAUAUUCAUCGGCAGAGUCCAUAUCUCUGGAAACUUUAUGUUACGUGUCUAUCUAUUUAGUGUUCCAGAUUUUAAUCUAGUUAUCCAUUGUUUAGUGAUUUCUAUUUUAUUUUUGGGAAAAAAGUAAUGAAAAGAAUGGGGGCUUCCUGUGAUGGCAUGAAAUCUUUGAGAACUGAAUUAUCUAUUUUGAUGACAAUUACAAGCAUCUUUUCUGAGGACUCCCCCAUUUCCAUUUAAAGUUUUAUGUGCUUCUUUUUGAAAAAAAAAUGAUUGAUUUACGGUUUCUUUUAUUUAUAUUUCUCCUUCCGUCCAAAAAGAUUGUCUCUUUUAUCUUGACAUAAAGGUUAAGAAUUAAAGGAAAUUUUUUGAAUUGUAUGAUCUAAAAUAAGCCUUAAAUAUUUGUGUGGCGGUAAAUCAUUUCAUAAAGUUAAAUUGUUUUAAAAUAUAGAAAAGUGACUCUUUUUUAAACAGACUAAAAAAAAAAAGGACAACCUUCUUGGGACAGAGGGGCUAGUUCUUAUCGUUUUUUUUUUUUUUUUCUUCUCUUUAAAUUAACUCUUUGUAUUUUGUUUUAAACUGUUGAGAUGAUGAUCGCACUGGGCUCUGAACAGUUUGACAAUAAACUGUAUAUUUUGAUGGACAAAUGCAGCCUAGAAAGCUACGUCUGAUCACUCUUCCUCUAUGCACAACUUUAUUUUGACAAACGCUAUAUUCGUAUUGAUUAUUUUCAGUAAUAUCUUUUUCUAACAUGAAAUAUUAAAUAAAUCUUUGGUUCAGAUAUCCCAUAAUUAACCGUUACCUCUCCUCAAUUGAGGAUAUUAAUAUUGCGCUUCUCUUUAAUGUAGAGAUCGUUUGUUAUUUGAAAUCUUGAAUAGACAGUUUUUAAUCCCCUCAGACUUUUUUUUCUGAGGUGAUUAAAAACUAUCUACUCAAGAUUUCAAAUAACAAAAGAUUAGAUUAUAUGCCAAAAAGUAAAUGUUAAAUAAUCACUUAAAAGAAUUGCAAGUUUAGGACUGAAAUACAAACCUGAACUUUUCAUGGCUCAAAUAAACAACUAAUGCUAUAAACAAAUUAUAAGAUUAGACAUUGCUUUCCCAAAAGGAAAAUUAAAAUGUUAAGUGAAUAUUUAUAGAACCUCUGCUCGCCCAUUAUUGGCCCUGUAUGUUAAGAGCAAAAGCUUUUCUGAACAAUAAAAUUUGGAGGAUAGAUUCACGGUAAUGUUAACAAUUAACACUAACUGUACUGGCAAGUGCUUUAUGUGAAAUCUAAGACGGAUUAUUAUUUGCAUAAUUGCUUUUGAAAAGUAAGUACAGAGUAGUUUAUAGUUCUAUAAAUACGACUUGUUGUAAAUAAUUUUGUUACAAAAACAUUAGGCUGAUUAUACUUUUUAACACUUCUUGAUUACUCCUAUUGCUGGUAAAAUAGCCAGUGCGACGAAAAAAUAUACAUUCGCUUUACGAAAGAAAACCACUUCUUUUCAUGUUCUUUUUCCUUCUCUAUAUUUUGUUACUUUUUUCAUUCUUUUCGUAUUCCUUGAUCUUCCUCUCAAUUCUCCAUCCAUAAAUAGGCUCCUACUCUAGGGAAUUUGCUAUUUUCCUUCUGUGUUUCACUUUCUUUUUUGCUUCUUUGUUCUUACUCUUUUCAACCUUUCGUUUCCUAAAGAAAAAAAAAGGGUACACGACUGACUUUAUAAGUUUAGGAAAUAAUAUCGACAAUCUUUCAUCACGGCUAUCGUAAGCGUAAGUUGCCAAAAAAAAAAAAAAAUAGAACAUGACAAACAAUUUUUGAAAUGCCAAUCAUUAAUAUUUGCUCUUGACUGUAAAAUCAGUAUCAUAAUCCACCUAUAACUUAUCCAUGAACCAAGUAACAGCCAUAUGUACAAAUGUGAAAAUUUAUCAGUAUUCAGUGUUUAUAUCAAGUUAAUAGAUGCAUGAUGUAUUUGCAUAUAGAAGUUAACAUGAUUAAUAAAAUGCAUUCUCAACUCGUUAAAUCACCUAACUACAGUAAAUUAUAUGAUUUGGUGUAAACACCGAGAUAUUUAGAGAGUGAAAUACCACAAUGAUUAUUGCUUAUUCAAAACAUUUGAAAUAUGAGAUAGAAACACAAUUGGAACGCAUGAGUUUGUGAGCUACUGAAUUUUAAAAGAUACAUGUUGAUACGAUCCUACUUGGCACACCUCAUUUCAAGACGUACAUUCAAGGCCAAGAUAUGGAACGUCAAGCUCUACAAGCGGCAUGGAUGAUAAUGAUGGCAUUGAAGGCCUUUGGAGGCCCAUACAAGCCCCACAAUGAGGCCUAUGAUGUGUGGGAGGCGGCUUGGGCGAGGCUUGAAGAAGAAGCUACUAAAAAGGGGGCCAAAUGUGCAAAGUGGCCAAACGUGCAAAUAGGGGCAUUUCUGCAAAUUGGCUACAUGUGCAAACUUGGACAAGGUCGGGAGUUGGCUAUUUGUGCAAAGAAUUUUAUGCUUGCAAGAAGCCAUGCAUGCAAGGUUGAUUAGAGGGUCAUCUAUGCAUGGAGGGACGUGUUUGACCAUUGAAGGUCAAUUCUUGAAUUGAAGACUACACUAAGAAGACUAGCCAAACAAGACUCUUACUUCAUUAAGGGUAGCAUUGUAAUUGCCUAUUAGUUUUCUUACUUAGCUUGUAUAGAUAGCUUGUCUUUCAUUUCAUUACUUAGAUUUUGGAUGAUGAAUUAUGAUACUCUAAAUUGAGUGAUAGAUUGUUAGGUAGAUUCUAGGGCUAUUUUAGUCAAUAUGAUGGUGGAAUUCAUUGUUGGUUUGUGAA